UACGUAGGCAGCGAGCGUUGUUCGGAGUUACUGGGCGUAAAGGGUGUGUAGGCGGUUGUUUAAGUUUGGUGUGAAAUCUCCCGGCUCAACUGGGAGGUGCGCCGAAUACUGAAUGACUUCGAGUACGGGAGAGGUGAGUGGAAUUCCUGGUGUAGCGGUGAAAUGCGUAGAUAUCAGGAGGAACACCGGUGGUGUAGACGGCUCACUGGACCGUAACUGACGCUGAGACACGAAAGCGUGGGAGCAAACAGG
rnacentral:rRNA from 1 species